rnacentral:pre_miRNA from 1 species
GAUUGGUGACCAGUACUCCUUCCGUGUCCAACUUUGAUUGUCCAUCUUGUUUGAUUUUUUUAUGAUUAGUAUUUAUGUUAUUAGAUGAUAAUUGAUAAAGCAUGAAUAAUAUUUUAUGCAUGUAUUAUAUUUUUCUAAUUUUUUUCAAAAUAAAUGAAUAAUACGAAUGAUUAAAGUUAGACAUAGAAACUUAUAACGCCGCUUACA